rnacentral:rRNA from 1 species
UCCAUAGGUUAAUGAGGCGAACCGGGGGAACUGAAACAUCUAAGUACCCCGAGGAAAAGAAAUCAACCGAGAUUCCCCCAGUAGCGGCGAGCGAACGGGGAGGAGCCCAGAGCCUGAAUCAGCAUGUGUGUUAGUGGAAGCGUCUGGAAAGGCGCGCGAUACAGGGUGACAGCCCCGUACACAAAAGCGCAUGUGCUGUGAGCUCGAUGAGUAGGGCGGGACACGUGGUAUCCUGUCUGAAUAUGGGGGGACCAUCCUCCAAGGCUAAAUACUCCUGACUGACCGAUAGUGAACCAGUACCGUGAGGGAAAGGCGAAAAGAACCCCGGCGAGGGGAGUGAAAAAGAACCUGAAACCGUGUACGUACAAGCAGUGGGAGCACCCUUCGGGGUGUGACUGCGUACCUUUUGUAUAAUGGGUCAGCGACUUAUAUUCUGUAGCAAGGUUAACCGUAUAGGGGAGCCGGAGGGAAACCGAGUCUUAAUUGGGCGUUAAGUUGCAGGGUAUAGACCCGAAACCCGGUGAUCUAGCCAUGGGCAGGUUGAAGGUUGGGUAACACUAACUGGAGGACCGAACCGACUAAUGUUGAAAAAUUAGCGGAUGACCUGUGGCUGGGGGUGAAAGGCCAAUCAAACCGGGAGAUAGCUGGUUCUCCCCGAAAGCUAUUUAGGUAGCGCCUCGUGAAUUCAUCUCCGGGGGUAGAGCACUGUUUCGGCUAGGGGGCCAUCCCGGCUUACCAACCCGAUGCAAACUGCGAAUACCGGAGAAUGUUAUCACGGGAGACACACGGCGGGUGCUAACGUCCGUCGUGAAGAGGGAAACAACCCAGACCGCCAGCUAAGGUCCCAAAGUCAUGGUUAAGUGGGAAACGAUGUGGGAAGGCCCAGACAGCCAGGAUGUUGGCUUAGAAGCAGCCAUCAUUUAAAGAAAGCGUAAUAGCUCACUGGUCGAGUCGGCCUGCGCGGAAGAUGUAACGGGGCUAAACCAUGCACCGAAGCUGCGGCAGCGAACGUAUCACCCAAGACAACUUUACGGAGUUGACGAUUGACGGAGCGAAGCGACGUCAAAGCGUUCAUUAAAGUCGAGUUGGCUUAGGGAUACGUUCGUUGGGUAGGGGAGCGUUCUGUAAGCCUGUGAAGGUGUGUCGUGAGGCAUGCUGGAGGUAUCAGAAGUGCGAAUGCUGACAUAAGUAACGAUAAAGCGGGUGAAAAGCCCGCUCGCCGGAAGACCAAGGGUUCCUGUCCAACGUUAAUCGGGGCAGGGUGAGUCGACCCCUAAGGCGAGGCCGAAAGGCGUAGUCGAUGGGAAACGGGUUAAUAUUCCCGUACUUGGUGUUACUGCGAAGGGGGGACGGAGAAGGCUAUGUUGGCCGGGCGACGGUUGUCCCGGUUUAAGCGUGUAGGUGUGUGUUCCAGGUAAAUCCGGUUCACUUUAACACUGAGGCGUGACGACGAGGCACUACGGUGCUGAAGCAACAAAUGCCCUGCUUCCAGGAAAAGCCUCUAAGCAUCAGGUAACAUCAAAUCGUACCCCAAACCGACACAGGUGGUCAGGUAGAGAAUACCAAGGCGCUUGAGAGAACUCGGGUGAAGGAACUAGGCAAAAUGGUGCCGUAACUUCGGGAGAAGGCACGCUGACACGUAGGUGAAGUGAUUUACUCAUGGAGCUGAAGUCAGUCGAAGAUACCAGCUGGCUGCAACUGUUUAUUAAAAACACAGCACUGUGCAAACACGAAAGUGGACGUAUACGGUGUGACGCCUGCCCGGUGCCGGAA